GCUUACGGCCACACUGGCCUGAGUACGCCUGAUCUCGUCCGAUCUCGGAAGCUAAGCAGGGUCGGGCCUGGUUAGUACUUGGAUGGGAGACCGCCUGGGAAUACCAGGUGCUGUAAGCU
ensembl:rRNA 5S_rRNA 5S ribosomal RNA